UACGAAGGGGGCUAGCGUUGUUCGGAAUUACUGGGCGUAAAGGGCGCGUAGGCGGCCCUGUUAGUCAGGCGUGAAAGUCCUGGGCUCAACCUGGGAACUGCGCUUGAUACGGCAGAGCUAGAGGAUGGAAGAGGGUCGCGGAAUUCCCAGUGUAGAGGUGAAAUUCGUAGAUAUUGGGAAGAACACCGGUGGCGAAGGCGGCGACCUGGUCCAUUACUGACGCUGAGGCGCGACAGCGUGGGGAGCAAACAGG
rnacentral:rRNA from 1 species